rnacentral:rRNA from 1 species
GAUGAACGCUGGCGGCGUGCCUAAUACAUGCAAGUCGAGCGAACGGACGAGAAGCUUGCUUCUCUGAUGUUAGCGGCGGACGGGUGAGUAACACGUGGAUAACCUACCUAUAAGACUGGGAUAACUUCGGGAAACCGGAGCUAAUACCGGAUAAUAUUUUGAACCGCAUGGUUCAAAAGUGAAAGACGGUCUUGCUGUCACUUAUAGAUGGAUCCGCGCUGCAUUAGCUAGUUGGUAAGGUAACGGCUUACCAAGGCAACGAUGCAUAGCCGACCUGAGAGGGUGAUCGGCCACACGGGAACUGAGACACGGACCAGACUCCUACGGGAGGCAGCAGUAGGGAAUCUUCCGCAAUGGGCGAAAGCCUGACGGAGCAACGCCACGUGAGUGAUGAAGGUCUUCGGAUCGUAAAACUCUGUUAUUAGGGAAGAACAUAUGUGUAAGUAACUGUGCACAUCUUGACGGUACCUAAUCAGAAAGCCACGGCUAACUACGUG